UACGGAGGGUGCGAGCGUUGUCCGGAUUUAUUGGGUUUAAAGGGUGCGUAGGUGGCUAUUUAAGCCAGUGGUGAAAGCCCAUCGCUUAACGAUGGAACUGCCAUUGGAACUGAAUAGCUUGAGUAUCGUUGAAGUAGGCGGAAUUUAUGGUGUAGCGGUGAAAUGCAUAGAUAUCAUCCAGAACACCGAUUGCGAAGGCAGGUGACUACGCCUGGUCUGACACUGAGGCACGAAAGCAUGGGGAGCAAACAGG
rnacentral:rRNA from 1 species